UAAUAUCGGAACGUACCCAAGAGUGGGGAUAACGUAGCGAAAGUUACGCUAAUACCGCAUACGAUCUAAGGAUGAAAGUGGGGGAUUCGCAAGAACCUCAUGCUCCUGGAGCGGCCGAUAUCUGAUUAGCUAGUUGGUAGGGUAAAGGGCCUACCAAGGCAUCGAUCAGUAGCUGGUCUGAGAGGACGACCAGCCACACUGGAACUGAGACACGGUCCAG
rnacentral:rRNA from 1 species